AAUGGGUCAGCGACUUAUAUUCUGUAGCAAGGUUAACCGAAUAGGGGAGCCGAAGGGAAACCGAGUCUUAACUGGGCGUUAAGUUGCAGGGUAUAGACCCGAAACCCGGUGAUCUAGCCAUGGGCAGGUUGAAGGUUGGGUAACACUAACUGGAGGACCGAACCGACUAAUGUUGAAAAAUUAGCGGAUGACUUGUGGCUGGGGGUGAAAGGCCAAUCAAACCGGGAGAUAGCUGGUUCUCCCCGAAAGCUAUUUAGGUAGCGCCUCGUGAAUUCAUCUCCGGGGGUAGAGCACUGUUUCGGCAAGGGGGUCAUCCCGACUUACCAACCCGAUGCAAACUGCGAAUACCGGAGAAUGUUAUCACGGGAGACACACGGCGGGUGCUAACGUCCGUCGUGAAGAGGGAAACAACCCAGACCGCCAGCUAAGGUCCCAAAGUCAUGGUUAAGUGGGAAACGAUGUGGGAAGGCCCAGACAGCCAGGAUGUUGGCUUAGAAGCAGCCAUCAUUUAAAGAAAGCGUAAUAGCUCACUGGUCGAGUCGGCCUGCGCGGAAGAUGUAACGGGGCUAAACCAUGCACCGAAGCUGCGGCAGCGACACUAUGU
rnacentral:rRNA from 1 species